GCUGCGGGCCAUCCCCGCGUGCGGGAGCCCGGCCGGCCUCGGCUGGCGGAGACGCGUGGCCGGGUGCCACGGCCGAGCCUGGGCCCGGGACCAAACUACGGCGCUGUGUGUCUCAUGUUCCCGUUCAGCGCCAGCUGUUCCCAGGCGCCUGGAGGAAGCCGGGACUCCACGCCUGCGCGCCCCUCCCAACCUGCCUGCGAAGUGCUGCCCCGGGCCUGAUCCCCCUUUCCAGUCUCUGCUCCUGGCCCGGCUGCUCGGCUCGUUCCGCUUUCUCGCGACCAAGGACAGGGAUCCGAAGUCCCCCAGAACUGGAAAAUGACGUGAGGCCAGCAGAUCUGGUGUGCAGGAGAGAAUGAACCCCAUCCUGGACCCAGUGUAUCUACAGUAAAAACAAACGCAGGAGAUUGCCUGGGCACAGCUGCUGCAUGGAAAAGCGCACUCCUAGAAGUAGUUGGGUCCUUUUGCAACCUAUCUUAGGAGAGCCAAGUUCCAAAAACCAUGUCGCACAGAAGCUGUGAAAGCAGCCCCUGAUUUCACCACCCCGUGCCACACACGAGGGCGACGCUGCCUGUAUCCAGACUCUAUACUACAGCAACGCCCCGUUUCUCCUUCUUGCAACCACAGGAAAGGACUGAAGGAGUUUACUGGGACUCUUGGGACCAUGGAGGAAUGCAGAAGGGGCGCUGCUCACCCUGCUAAGGUCCCUGUCUUCCUGUGGAGCUUUGGGGUUUGCAUUUUGCUUGGAGCACUGUUUGCCCUGCACUGUUUGCUUUUUGCUUGGAGCCUCCAAAGUUGUUGGCAUUUGGAUUAAGCACAUGAUGGUGUGUGGCCCUGCCAUUCUUGUGGAGCACAUUAUUCUGAAGCAUUUUUGAUUUCGACUGCUGCUGGAUUCUAGAAUCUUAAUCACAGCUAAUUAGGGUCAGCAAGAUUUUUUUUUUUGUAAUUGUCUUUAAACAUGAUUGAAUAUAAUGAUGAAGAAAGCAGUAUAAGGUAGGAAGCAUAUUAGCCGUGGAUAUUAAAAUAUUUCUUAUUAACGAUUAUUAAACCAAGACUCUUGAGAAAGAGACUCUAGAAUAAAAAGUUUGUUGAGCCAUUACUGGGCCCAAAAAGGACUAGAUUCUGAAGCAAGUUCCUCAGCAACCAGCUGCAUAUCUGUCUACUAGAAAGGAGAGCCAUGGACAUUUUUGUAAUAAGAAUUUGGGAGGGAAAGCUUAAUUGUUCAUACUGAACCUGUAUUGCCUAUAUACAAGUAGGGGUGAGUUACACUAAGUGGUGCAAAUUUUGGGAUAGGAGAACAAGCCAUAGGAGAAGUAAUUGUUGCUUCCGGUUUGUUUAGGAUGAGUGGACUAGAAAGCUCAGGCACUAGGGGUUUUAUCUGAAGAUUUAAAAAUAUAUUCAGGAGUACUUUGGCCUGUAGCUUUUAACUAAUUAACUUCUCUUAUUUCUGAUCUUCUGUACUAUCCUGCCUUUUAAAUUAAAUUUUGGAUUUUUCACAGUCUUUCUUUUAUCAGGAUUAAAUUACAUACAUGUUGCAUGCACACAACUCUUAUAUAUUAUACUCAGCAAAUCAAGAAGGGAAAUAUCUGCCCAAGAGGAUUUGCAGUUUUCUAAUGCUGGUUCCCUGAAAUAACACCAAAAUAGGCUAUUGAUGGACAAAGCUGCUUUUCAUGUAUGACCAAAUGCAGCUAAUUUGCUGUUGGCAACGGCAAAGCCCAAAAGUGAGUGAAGGAGAGAAAGGUCUACAGCAGGGUUAUUACUCACAGGAAGUGAGGAGAGCAAUACAGUUAAUUUGUAAAGAAAGCAUUGUUCUGUCCUUGGAUAAAGAAAGCGAAUAACAAGGAGAUUGUUAUUGAUAGCAUAUACAUUUUCAGGUAGGAAAAUGUGUAGGUGUGGGCUCAUUCUUGAGUGUGCUGCCUUUAAAGCACAUUCUGAUUAUGUUCAUUUCAAGAUUAUAAAGCACAUGCUCAAAAGGAAAGAUGGUGGACAUGGAUGUUCCUGAGCAGAUAAUUUAGUACUUCAAUGAGCAAACCUUACUCUAGGUCAGCGAAAGAAUGAGAUAGACUCAGUGACCUGGGUGGAGUUUUUAUAAGUUUCUCUGAAGAAUCUUAGCUGCAACAAACAAAAAGAACUUUAAAGGUGCUUUAAAAUUCUGUCAAGGGGAAAGCAGCUUUUACCCCAUACAUCUAGGAGUUUGCCCCUGAAGUUGUCUGUCUUGCUCAUCGGCCAACAGUUGGUUACCAUGGUAAGGGAGCUUUCUACCUUGUCAAAGUUUUUAUAGCAUUUUGGAGAGGGACGGCAAAGUUGAGUUAUUUGUAAGGUUUUCAGAGUCUGGUUUAAGUUGCAACUUUCAAUGUGAGAGCUUUACUAGAAUUGGGUAAUCAUCAUGAAAUAAGGCCUUACAAGUGGUGAGCACAGCAAAGAGAGUCUUAAAGUGAAAGUUUCAAAAAGAGUAUUGAGAAUAAAUGGUAAUUUAUAUCUCCAUGGACCAGGGCUUCCUGAGACAGCAAAGCUAGUUUCUUGAAGACAGUGGAAUAGCAAACAUGUUAAUGAAGUUGGUCAAAUUAAAAUGUUAUGUUCAUGUAGUGGAUAGUAAGUGGUGUGGGUGUAGAUUGCUUCAAGUUUGUACAGUCUAAUGGCAUGACCACUUUUGAACCCAAAGGGAUAAUCAUUAAAAACAGUUAGAGGUAACCAAGCAAUACUUUAAAUUUAGCUAAACUAAUGCUUUAUGGAUGGAGGAGAAGUGGGAAGAGAAAGUGAGUUGAUUGAAAGUUCAAUAAAACAAUACGGU
rnacentral:lncRNA from 1 species